UGGGGAAUAUUAGAAAUGGACGAAAGUCUGAUCUAGCAACACCGCGUGUGCGAAGAAGGCCUUCGGGUCGUAAAGCACUUUUUGGAAGGAAUAGGAAGGAAUGUACUUCCAGAAUAAGUCUCGGCUAACUACGUGCCAGCAGCCGCGGUAACACGUAGGAGGCAAACGUUAUCCGGAUUUACUGGGCGUAAAGCGCGUGUAGGUGGUUUGGUAAGUAGAGCGUGAAAGCUCCUGGCUCAACUGGGAGAGGUCGUUCUAAACUGCCGGACUAGAGGAUGGUAGAGGGAGGUGGAAUUCCGGGUGUAGCGGUGGAAUGCGCAGAUAUCCGGAGGAACACCAGUGGCGAAAGCGGCCUCCUGGACCAUUCCUGACACUCAGACGCGAAAGCUAGGGUAGCAAACG
rnacentral:rRNA from 1 species